rnacentral:lncRNA from 1 species
GUUCUCCCAGGUUAUUUUCUGGCUGUAUCCAAGGAAAUGAGACACAGGUCAAUACUGGUUCUUAUGGUCUCCUGUGGACAUCGGAUCUCUGCCAACAUGCAAGAUCUAGCUCUGGGAAGGAAGACUGGAAGGAAAUAG